rnacentral:rRNA from 1 species
AGAGUUUGAUCAUGGCUCAGAUUGAACGCUGGCGGCAGGCCUAACACAUGCAAGUCGAGCGGUAGCACAGAGAGCUUGCUCUCGGGUGACGAGCGGCGGACGGGUGAGUAAUGUCUGGGAAACUGCCUGAUGGAGGGGGAUAACUACUGGAAACGGUAGCUAAUACCGCAUAACGUCGCAAGACCAAAGUGGGGGACCUUCGGGCCUCAUGCCAUCAGAUGUGCCCAGAUGGGAUUAGCUAGUAGGUGGGGUAAUGGCUCACCUAGGCGACGAUCCCUAGCUGGUCUGAGAGGAUGACCAGCCACACUGGAACUGAGACACGGUCCAGACUCCUACGGGAGGCAGCAGUGGGGAAUAUUGCACAAUGGGCGCAAGCCUGAUGCAGCCAUGCCGCGUGUGUGAAGAAGGCCUUCGGGUUGUAAAGCACUUUCAGCGGGGAGGAAGGCGAUAAGGUUAAUAACCUUGUCGAUUGACGUUACCCGCAGAAGAAGCACCGGCUAACUCCGUGCCAGCAGCCGCGGUAAUACGGAGGGUGCAAGCGUUAAUCGGAAUUACUGGGCGUAAAGCGCACGCAGGCGGUCUGUCAAGUCGGAUGUGAAAUCCCCGGGCUCAACCUGGGAACUGCAUUCGAAACUGGCAGGCUAGAGUCUUGUAGAGGGGGGUAGAAUUCCAGGUGUAGCGGUGAAAUGCGUAGAGAUCUGGAGGAAUACCGGUGGCGAAGGCGGCCCCCUGGACAAAGACUGACGCUCAGGUGCGAAAGCGUGGGGAGCAAACAGGAUUAGAUACCCUGGUAGUCCACGCCGUAAACGAUGUCGAUUUGGAGGUUGUGCCCUUGAGGCGUGGCUUCCGGAGCUAACGCGUUAAAUCGACCGCCUGGGGAGUACGGCCGCAAGGUUAAAACUCAAAUGAAUUGACGGGGGCCCGCACAAGCGGUGGAGCAUGUGGUUUAAUUCGAUGCAACGCGAAGAACCUUACCUGGUCUUGACAUCCACAGAACUUUCCAGAGAUGGAUUGGUGCCUUCGGGAACUGUGAGACAGGUGCUGCAUGGCUGUCGUCAGCUCGUGUUGUGAAAUGUUGGGUUAAGUCCCGCAACGAGCGCAACCCUUAUCCUUUGUUGCCAGCGGUCCGGCCGGGAACUCAAAGGAGACUGCCAGUGAUAAACUGGAGGAAGGUGGGGAUGACGUCAAGUCAUCAUGGCCCUUACGACCAGGGCUACACACGU